rnacentral:tRNA from 1 species
GCUUCCGUAGCUCAGUUGGUUAGAGCAUCGUACUAAUACUUCCAUUCCCAGUGUUGGUGAUGCGAGGGUCGCAGGUUCAAGCCCUGCCGGGAGCA